UCAUAGCGACUUUUGGGAUAGUUUGCUAUCGACAAAGGGAGACAAAGUCAAGGGGUGAAGGGAAAGGAGGGCCAAGUAGAGCCUCCACGACCCUCGGCUUCCUCCUCACCAGCUCCCCCUCCCUCCAAGUCCAGUAAGAAGUUGGGCCAAGCUGGAAGGGAUUGACCGGGUUGCUUGUCUGGAGAUGGAGCCACUACAGGCGGGCCUGGGCGCCUGGAGUCGGGCAUGAAAGAAAAUAGCGCCUCAUCGCUCUUAUCUAAGCCCAGAGGUAGACUUCGCUUGAAAAGAUCGAGAAUGGAGGAGGGGAUCGGCACUCACUUGCAGACAUCAACAGUUUCCAGAAAAUUCGGUUCAAUUCCUUCACCACGGACCCACCAACCAAGGAGCUGGCAAAACCCACUAACCAACCAGGAGAACACAGACCCGGUUUGUCUUUUGACAACCGAGUGGAACUGACGGGGCCGGCGCCUGCCCUGCGGGUCCCCUCCCUUGGCUGAGAAGAAAACCAAAUAAACCUUGAACAGCCUUGGCUUCGGAUGUCUCAAGCGGCCUCAUCCUCUCCCGCGCCUUGCCGUUUCCUCUCCCUCGCCGGCCUCGGCGGAGAUUCCAGGCCCUAUAGAAACCAGGACGUCCCUUAGCGCCACCGCCUCACAUGCCAGUGCUGCCGGGAACCCAGCGAUAUCCGCACCAGCGGAGAAGGUUCCAGGCUGCCGGCGGCGGCGCAGAGAGCGGGAAGAGAGGCUCGGAGGAAGCCCCGGGCGUGGCGUGGUCAGGCUCCGAGAGCGGCCGGGAUGCGGCCACACCGGCCUGGUAAACUCGCACCUCUUAGGAUCUUGCUCCCGGACUCAUUCCCUUCCCCACCCCCUAUUUUAAAGUUUUAUUUGGGUCGUCUGUAUCAAUUUAGAACGAGAUAAAUUAAGACAAAGAAAGUAAAAUAAAUCGAAAUAAAAUAUAGGAAUAGCUCUUGGCGAAA
rnacentral:lncRNA from 1 species